rfam:Scleropages formosus scaffold7122, whole genome shotgun sequence.
CUGGGCUAUGGAGAUAUGUACCCCAAGACCUGGUUGGGAAUGAUGGUGGGGGCUUUGUGUGCACUUGCUGGUGUGCUAACCAUUGCCAUGCCUGUACCUGUAAUUGUCAACAAC